rnacentral:lncRNA from 1 species
GUCGUGCCAAUUUUUAUUGUGCUUUAAGAUUUUUUAAAUGUUUGUUAGGAAAAAAAUUAAUUCCCUAUCUUUCCUGCCUGAAGUAGUCAGUGGGAAUGAAGCAUGCAGAGAGGAAGCUGCAGCUGGAUAUAAAUGGUGAGAACCACGGCAGAUAGGAGCAAAGCCAUGCCUAAUCAAGGAAGGAUUUUCUCAAAUGAAUUCCAGAAUGAGCAUAUGCCCAAAAGAACUGGCAGAUGGCUUGAGUGUGGGCACAGGAUACAUACACCAUUUGGGAUAACUUAGUGACAUUCUCUUCUAUCCAUACUUGAGUCAAGUACCCAUAUGCUAUGUUUAAAACCACAGUAAAGAGAUUAGAUAUAUCCUUCUAUUGAUUGCUGAUGGUUGUUUGUUGUGGAUUAUGUGUUGGGAUUGAGUUGGUUCUCAGUGGACACCUCAACCAUGUGGAAUUCAGCUGGAGGGCAGCUGUUGGCCUUUUGCCCACGGCGCAGUGUGUGUUUGGUGAAGCCGGGAGUGAGUGCUGUCUUCCUGGCCACCUUAGUUAGCAGUACAAUAACCCUCACUCUAAUGGUCUUUCUUGCCUUCAUCAAAUGACAAAAAUGUGAAUUGCCAUACUGCCGUGUGGUAUUUGUAUGUGGCCCUGCUGCGACCUCUCUAAAGUAAUCUGAAAGCUCUUAUUUAUUUAUUUCUGUAAUGUCUCUGAGGGAAAAACAUAAUGUCACCCUAAGCCUGGUUCUUAUUUGAAGUUAAUGGGAAUACCACCCUUUGGAUGAAAAUAACUAACUGACUACAAAUUGUCUACUUCUAAUAAUGAGGUUUUACUUAGACAACCCAUCUACUUGGCCCUGCUGAAAACACAAUAUUUUUUCAGCUUUAGCUUUCCUCUGAAUCCAUGCAAAACCUUUCUUGCUUCUCUGCUGAAUGACACAUGCGUUUGGUUUGGUUUGGUUUUCUGAAUUGAAAAGGGAAGAUGUUUGGCAGCAUCAGGAUAUGUAAACAUAUUGGAAAACUGGCUCAUGCAAAUCUUUCUCUUCUCAGUGUGUAAACAUGCAAGGUUUUUAGUUUUUGAUUAUAAUAUUUAUAUAACAUUUUGGAAAUUUAAAAAAUAGUUACUUAGAUCUGUUUUUCUUUACUAGAAAAUUUUAUAGAAGUUUUGAGCAUUAUGGAAUUUUUUUGUCACCUUGAAUCUGAUUCAUUUUGUAAAUAGUGAGAGCUCUUUAACACAGAGACUGUAUCUUAACCUAUUUUAAUCUGCUGUGAUUGAAAGUAAGAGAUGUUUCAUAAUUAAGUUAAAGGAAAUAUGUAAAAGCUGUAAUUAUUUAAUGGGAGUUUUGAAAGAAAUCUUGAGAGGAAUUCAUGGCAGCUCAAGGGCUUUGGAGUUACACCUGAUUGCCAAACCUGCUCAAUCCCAUUACUGUCUGUGUCUCUAAACUUUUCUGAAGCGGGGGUAAUAAGGGUAAUAAGCUCUACGUUACAAGGCUCUUUUGAGCACUUAAUACAGCAUGUAAUGUAGAGUGAGCAUUCAGUAACAUCAGCGAUUGAUGUUAUCAUUACACUAUUAUUUUAAUUAUUGUUGUACUGAACUCUGAAAGAUCACCCCUCCACUGCCUUUUUAAAAAAAUGACAGACACUGGUUAAAAUAGAAGCAGCAUUGUGGAGAUUAUUCUUACCUUGGAAGUGCAGUAACCACUCAAUCAACAUUAAUAAAAAUUUUCUAGAGGCAAAGCGGUAUAAUUGAAAGGCUUGAACUUGAAAUAGGAUAGUCAUAGCUCUGAGUCUUAGUUCAGCCACUUAAAUGUUAUGUGGCUUUCCCUGAGUAACUUAUCUUCUUGAGUCCAGUUGCCUCAUCUUUUAAAUGGGAGUGAUAAAAACCUACUUUGAAGAGCUUUUGUUAGGAUUAGAGGUAGUAUUUUAAAAAUAUCUUAUACAGUGCCUGGCACUGUUAGUUGAUAGUAGUUUAUGAUCUAGUUUAUUCCUCUAUUUCUUCUUUCUCCAUGUUCUCUGGUCCUUUUUAUUUAUUUAUUUAUUUAUUUUUAUUUACCCUUAAAAACUUUACAUCUUUAAACUCUCCCAUAGUUUCGUUUGGCCCCUUACUCUUCCUUUUCAUAUUUACUUCCUUGCCUGUUUGGGGUUUUUUUGUUUGUUUGCUUAGUUAGGUUUGCGGUAGGGGUUUUGUUUGUUUGUUUUGUUUUGUUUUGUUUUUUGGUGGGGGGCCAUGCCUGUGGCAUGUAGAGGUUCCCAAGCCAGAGAAAAACCUGUGCUACUUCAGUUACUGCUGAGCCACCAGGGAACCUCCCCUUUCCUGUUUAUUUUGAAGUGUGUUUUUAAUGAGUUUUUUUUUUUUUUUUUUUGAAAUAAAUAGUCUUCUUUAUUCUUUUUAUAUCCUCUGGAAAACUUUGUGUAAGAUCGAUAUUAUUUUCUUCUUUAAUGUUUGGUAGAACUUAUCAACAAAGCCAUCUGGAUUCAAGUUUUCUGGUUGGGAUAGUUUUAAAUUACGAAUUCAAUUUAAUUAAGAAUUAUAGGAGUUCCUGUCGUGGCACAGUGGGUAAUGAAUCCAACUAGGAACCAUGAGGUUGUGGGUUCGAUACCUGGCCUUGCUCAGUGGGUUAAGGACCCGGCGUUGCCAUGAACUGUGGUGUAGGUCGCAGAUGCAGUUCGGAUCCCACAUUGCUAUGGCUCUGGUGUAGGCUGGCGGCUAUAGCUCUGAUUCGACCCCUAGUCUGGGAACCUACAUAUGCCGUGAGAGUGGCCCUAAAAAAGACCAAAAGACAAAAAAAAAAAAUUAUAGAGAACCUUCUAUAUAGCACAGAGAACUCUACCCAGUAUUCUGUGAUAAUCUAUGGAGGAAAAGAAUCUGAAAGAGAAUGGAUAUGUGUAUAUGGCUGAAAAAAAAAAAAAAAAAAAGAAGCAGCUGAAUAAGUUGAUAACUUUUAAAUAUAAGUUAUUGACCAACCUUCCAAUAAUCUGCAUUUCCUUUACAUGAUAAUAAUAGAGAUAUGAAUUAAAGUGCUGUAGGUGUUUUAUGAUAAUGUCUAAUUGGUUUUUAUAGUCUCAGUUCAGAGAAUGUACUUUUAAUGAGUGUUUAGUAAAUGAAUUCACAUCUUUUGGUUUUGGCUUGACCAUUAAAUUUUCUUUUAAAUUUUUAAUAAAGAAUGAAUUUUUUCAUAUGUAAAUCCUUCUCUGUAAUCCUUUAAAUAGUGAGCUUUAAUUUAAAGCUUUUUUUUUUUUUUAAUUUGCCAGCAGAAUUAGAAUUUUGUUGUAAUAAAGAAAGUAACUUCCAGGUUGUAUUAGUUACUACAUACUGAAAUUUUCUAGUUAUAUACUGUAAAUGAUUUCAUUUUUAUGGAAGACAAAAUACAGCUUACCUCCUUACCAUAAAAGGACAGAACAUCAUAUAGGCUGUAUUUCCCAGCCACCAUAUAACAUGGCUGUUUCUACAACUGGAAAAUUUCAGGGUUAAUAUGUUGCCAGACUUUGUUUGCUGACCUUGAAGGUAUAAAUCAAGAAUAGUGAGCAGUGCAAGGCAGAGACUCGGCCCAAGUUUUUGGCAUAUUUAAUGUAAUUUCCUACACAUAAUUCAGUCAGAGCAAAUGCUCUCAUUUGCUUAGUAUAUACUUAUAUUCUGAGAUUUGCCUCAUAUAUUAGUGACAGUUUGCUUUGAAAUAAUUUUGUUGUACAUUGAAAAAAAAAUGACUCAUGGAAUCAUAGGAUUUUGUAGUUCUAAUGAUCCUGGAGAUUAAUCUAACUUCUCUUAGAAAUGAAAAAAAAAAUAGUAAAGCUUAGAGAAUGGAAGUGAUGUGAUUAAGUUUAUAAUCUUAAUCUGGAGUCCCAAGACUUCAUUCUAAUUUAGAGUCUAGAAUUUGUGGACCUAAGUUAUAUGAGAUUUGAAUUAUUUAAGAAUUUUUUAAAAUUAUAAAGCAAUACAUAGCUAUUUAACUUGAGAAUUGCAUUGCUUAAAACUAUGCAGUAUCCAAAGAAAAUUAUUAUUAUGAUAAUGAUCCUGUGUGUUCAAAGCAAAAUAUGUAAUUGCAAAUCGUGAUAACACUUUUCAUCCAGUAAGAAUGGUUUCCACAAGGGGCCAUGCAGUGGUCUGUAUUUUCAGAAAAGUUGAAAAUGCUUGGUGGAGUCUAAAGUUCAGCCUUACAAACUGUGUGAAUGGGAGUACUAUUUAUUUUUUUAAAAGAUGGCUGCUAUAAUUGGAAACUAACAUUAUUAUCAAAAGCCUUAUAUAAUAUACCAAAAAUCUAUCCGUGUAUGGAAUUAGGCCAAGUAGAGAUUGUCCUUAGGAACUUGCAUUCUAGGUAACUUCAGACGGAGACAUAAAGGUACACAGACAGCAAAAAACUUUGCCUAAAUAUAUUUAACUAGAAUAAUUACAUAAUGAGAUGGUUUAAUGAGUCCCUCUUGGACGGUGAAAGGUAAAUAUUCUGUCCUAGGGUAUUGUAUUGGGCCGAAUUGUUAAUAUGCCUGUCUUUCUAUACCAGACUGACCUCAUAAGGGCAACUGAAAUAAGUACCUAACUAAAUGUGAGAACUUGUGGUUUUUUGUUUAUUCUGCUUCUCUUGAAGAUCACACGGGGCUCCUGAUAGUCUGGAGCCUACCGCUCUGUCUCUCCCCUUUUGACUUGCUCAGGCACAACGUGUUAGGAACGCAUAAUUUCCAGAUCAAUUUCUGUGAACAGAUGGGCGGAGACAUGGCUAAAAUACGAAUGAAGUACGCUGGGGCAAGGAGAAAUGUGUCACUUCUUUUCCACAAAACGGACAGGAUUCAGUAUUUAUUUGCAUAAGGAAAGGAAAGGGGUGUGAUAAACAUGGGGGGACACAGGCCUGAUGAGUAAUGAAGACCAGGCAGCAAAGAACAUCGUUGUUUUGGACACAUUCAAGGUGCUGAUCGGGGCCAAAGAACAUCUAACUGCGUAUGGUAAAGAAAAGCAGAAGAUGUCUGGGGUAGGAAGUAAUUAAAUGCACCAUCUGCUGAGGUCUCUAGUAGACUUUAAAAUGACUUCAGGAUAUGUGUUUUAACCAUCUUAGGCUUAAAUGGUAAAAACAGCUUUCUUUACCAGGCCCUAUUCACAUUUUUUCUAUUUCUGGCUAUUUUUAGGUUUUUAAAGUAUUCAUAUAUUGUGAUAUUGUUUCUUUGUUGGAGCCUUGAGGGGGAUAGUUUUCAUAUAAUUCUUCAUGACAUAGUGAUGACAGCCAUAGUAAAGUUUUUCCUGAAAGUUUUGUAAGCUCUGUAACAGGAAGCCAUGUAUUGUAAAUCUAUCACUUCCUGAGAAGUCAUUCCAGAGAAAACAGUAUUUUUCAGCUGAAUGAACUUUACUUUCACAUUUGUUAUACUUUCUGUACACUCUUGGCUUAAAACGUUCUUUUGGGUUAGUACGUUAUGAGAUUUCCAUUACACGAUUACUUUUGAUUUAACCACCCAUAUUCUUGGUGCAAAUAGGUAAUUGUGAAAUUGAUUCUAUUGAUUCUAUGUUUUCACAUAAGUAUAUUCAGUUUCAAAAAAUAAAAAUGGUUUCCAAAAGAUCCACAAUCCAAAAAUAGUCAAAGGAUAUGAAAAAACUGUUUAAACCAAAUGGUCAAAACACAAAGAUUUAUAAACCUGCGAGACUCAAUUUUACUCAUAAGAAGAGUGCAGCUGGAGUUCCUUGGUGGCCCAGCAGUCAAGGAUCUGGUGUUGUCACUGCUGAGGCUCAUUGUCACUGCUGUGGUUCAGGUUCUAUCCCUGGCCUGGGAACUUCCAUAUGCUGCAAGUACAGCCAAAAAAAUUAAAAUUCAGCUAUAAUAUGAGGUACCAUUUCUUUCAUCCAUCACAUUGGCAAGGAUGAAACAGAUAAAACAUAAUUUUUGUGGAUAUAAGGAAAUAGCUUAUAUAAGGAUAUGGCUACUUUGAUAUGCUGUUGAUAGGAGUGCAUAAAAAUGAAAAAUACACUUGUUCUUGAUACAGUGAAUUCAGUUUUCAGAAUUUACCUCCAGAGGUAUAAGAAUACAAGUUUGCAAAGUAUACUUUGGUAUUCAAUAUAUGUUGCAUCCACUCUAUCUAUUCAUAGGCUGUUUAAAUAAACUUCAGCAUUUCUGUGUGUGUGUAAAAUUAAAAAGCAAAGUAUGAAACAAUGUCUUUAUUGGGUAUUUAUGCUUGUAAAAAUGUAGACACAAUUCUACAAGACAAGAAAUCAGAUCUAGAACAGAAGGGAAGUUUCUUUUCAUUAUAUUUUUGUCAUUCAUUUUGAACUUUUGUUUUUAUCAUGUACAUGUAUUAAUUUGUAAAAAAACAGUAUUAAGUAUUUUUGAAAUACAACUUACACGCUGUAAAA